AUGGCUCCCGAUUCUACGACGAUGAAGGUUUCCGUGCUGCUGAUGGCCACCGUCGUCCUGCUGGCCAUGGCUGUUCAUGGCAAAGGUGACGGCGGGUGCAUCCGGCGGGUCGACGAGAUCGAGACGCCGGUGCCCGGCUCCUGCCUCUGCUACGACAAGUGCGCCCGCAAGGGAGGAGACCAGCUGGCCGGGCUCACUGACGCGCAGUCCCAGAGCUGCUUCGUGGACUGCGUGCUCAGGGACGGCGGAUGGGUCUUCUGCGCUGACGACGGCGGAGGCGAGGCGGCCGCCACCGUCGCCCCCCAGCCCCCGAGGCUGGAUGUAGUGCUGAGCAGGCACGUGAGGGUACUGGUGACGAGGCCCAAGGUGUCGAGGAGCCGAAAGGAGAAGGAGGAGACGGAGGAGGUGCUGGUCGUGGAGAUGGGGUUCGGACCCGACGUCCACCAGAUAUCCUUCCUCCACGUGUGGCUGAACUUGCGCGAGGGCGAAGAGAAAACGCUAUUCGAAAACGCAGUGGCUGAGCCCCGGUACGCGGGCCAUUACGUGGUGCACAGGGAGGACAUCGUCCCCGGGCAAGACAAGGCGGCGCGCAAGCUCCCCAUCGGCGGCAACCUGGAAGCCAUUGGAGCCGACGGCAACAGGACGGUCAUGGUGUCGAUCGCUCCUUAUGUUUCCACCGGGAAGAAAGGGCCUUAUUGGUACGAGCGGCAGACGUAUUUUGUCCGCGGUGCCUACAUUGUAUACGAGCCUAAGGAGCAUGUUGGUAGUAGUAUUAACCACAACCAAGGGGGUACGGGCUUGAAUGAUCAGCUCGUCACGCGCUGGCAUUGA
rnacentral:rRNA from 1 species